GACGAACGCUGGCGGCGUGCUUAACACAUGCAAGUCGAACGGAAAGGCCCUGCUCUUGCGGGGUGCUCGAGUGGCGAACGGGUGAGUAACACGUGAGUAACCUGCCCUUGACUUUGGGAUAACUUCAGGAAACUGGGGCUAAUACCGGAUAGGAGCUCUUGCUGCAUGGUGGGGGUUGGAAAGUUUCGGCGGUUGGGGAUGGACUCGCGGCUUAUCAGCUUGUUGGUGGGGUAGUGGCUUACCAAGGGUUUGAAGGGUAGCCGGCCUGAGAGGGUGACCGGCCACAUUAGGACUGAGAGACGGCCCAGACUCCUACGGGAGGCAGCAGGGGGGAAUAUUGCACAAUGGGCGGAAGCCUGAUGCAGCAACGCCGCGUGCGGGAUGACGGCCUACGGGUUGUAAACCGCUUUCGCCUGUAACGAAGCGUGAGUGACGGUAAUGGGUAAGGAAGCACCGGCUAACUACGUG
rnacentral:rRNA from 1 species